GACGAACGCUGGCGGCGUGCUUAACACAUGCAAGUCGAGCGGAAAGGCCUCUUCGGGGGUACUCGAGCGGCGAACGGGUGAGUAACACGUGAGUAACCUGCCCCUGACUUUGGGAUAAGCCUGGGAAACUGGGUCUAAUACUGGAUAUUCAUGUCCUGCCGCAUGGUGGGGUGUGGAAAGAUUUUUUGGUUGGGGAUGGGCUCGCGGUCUAUCAGCUUGUUGGUGGGGUAAUGGCUUACCAAGGCUUUGACGGGUAGCCGGCCUGAGAGGGUGUCCGGCCACACUGGGACUGAGACACGGCCCAGACUCCUACGGGAGGCAGCAGUGGGGAAUAUUGCGCAAUGGGCGGAAGCCUGACGCAGCGACGCCGCGUGGGGGAUGACGGCCUUCGGGUUGUAAACCUCUUUCGACAGUGACGAAGCCUUUGGGUGACGGUAGCUGUAGAAGAAGCACCGGCCAACUACGUGCCAGCAGCCGCGGUAAUACGUAGGGUGCAAGCGUUGUCCGGAUUUAUUGGGCGUAAAGAGCUCGUAGGCGGUGUGUCGCGUCGAAAGUGAAAACUGCUGGCUUAACCGGCAGCUUGCUUUCGGUACGGGCAUGCUUGAGUGUGGUAGGGGAGACUGGAAUUCCUGGCGUAGCGGUGAAAUGCGCAGAUAUCAGGAGGAACACCGGUGGCGAAGGCGGGUCUCUGGGCCAUUACUGACGCUGAGGAGCGAAAGCGUGGGGAGCGAACAGGAUUAGAUACCCUGGUAGUCCACGCUGUAAACGUUGGGCGCUAGGUGUGGCGACUGGUUCACGGUUGCUGUGCCGUAGCUAACGCAUUAAGCGCCCCGCCUGGGGAGUACGGCCGCAAGGCUAAAACUCAAAGGAAUUGACGGGGGCCCGCACAAGCGGCGGAGCAUGCGGCUUAAUUCGAUGCAACGCGAAGAACCUUACCUGGGCUUGACAUAUAUCGAAAACUCGCAGAGAUGCGGGGUCCUUCGGGGCGGUAUACAGGUGGUGCAUGGUUGUCGUCAGCUCGUGUCGUGAGAUGUUGGGUUAAGUCCCGCAACGAGCGCAACCCUUGCUCCAUGUUGCCAGCACGCGAUGGUGGGGACUCAUGGGGGACUGCCGGGGUCAACUCGGAGGAAGGUGGGGAUGACGUCAAAUCAUCAUGCCCUUUAUGUCCAGGGCUGCACGCAUGCUACAAUGGCCGGCACAAAGAGCUGCGAUACCGUGAGGUGGAGCGAAUCUCAAAAAACCGGUCUCAGUUCGGAUCGAAGUCUGCAACUCGACUUCGUGAAGUUGGAGUCGCUAGUAAUCGCAGAUCAGCAACGCUGCGGUGAAUACGUUCCCGGGCCUUGCACUCACCGCCC
rnacentral:rRNA from 1 species